UCAACACUGAUAAAGAAGAAUUCUCUACCUUUUCUAUUUCUCUCAUUCCACGAAGCUUGAAUGGCAUGGCGGAUUCUUUGGCGCGCAAAGCUCGCUCCUGUCCGCAGAGUUUUAAACAAGUUUGCUUGGGUUCUCCAAAUUGGCCUUAAUCGGCCGAUUGUAUUCUUUAUUGUCGACAAAAAAAAAAAGACAAGUUUGUUUAUUAAAAAAAA
rnacentral:lncRNA from 1 species